GUCCACGCCCUAAACGAUGUCAACUAGUUGUCGGGGAAGCAAUUUCUCGGUAACGCAGCUAACGCGUGAAGUUGACCGCCUGGGGAGUACGGUCGCAAGAUUAAAACUAAAAGGAAUUGACGGGGACCCGCACAAGCGGUGGAUUAUGUGGAUUAAUUCGAUGCAACGCGAAAAACCUUACCUACCCUUGACAUGUAGCGAACCCGGUGGAGACACCGGGGUGCCCGAAAGGGAGCGCUAACACAGGUGCUGCAUGGCUGUCGU
rnacentral:rRNA from 1 species